GUUUUACCAGAAGUAGGUAGCUUAACCGUAAGGAGGGCGCUUACCACGGUAGGAUUCGUGACUGGGGUGAAGUCGUAACAAGGUAGCCGUAUCGGAAGGUGCGGCUGGAUCACCUCCUUUCUAGA
rnacentral:rRNA from 2 species